rnacentral:rRNA from 1 species
GCUCACCAAGGCAACGAUGCGUAGCCGACCUGAGAGGGUGAUCGGCCACACUGGGACUGAGACACGGCCCAGACUCCUACGGGAGGCAGCAGUAGGGAAUCUUCCGCAAUGGACGAAAGUCUGACGGAGCAACGCCGCGUGAGUGAUGAAGGCUUUCGGGUCGUAAAACUCUGUUGUUAGGGAAGAACAAGUGCUAGUUGAAUAAGCUGGCACCUUGACGGUACCUAACCAGAAAGCCACGGCUAACUACGUGCCAGCAGCCGCGGUAAUACGUAGGUGGCAAGCGUUAUCCGGAAUUAUUGGGCGUAAAGCGCGCGCAGGUGGUUUCUUAAGUCUGAUGUGAAAGCCCACGGCUCAACCGUGGAGGGUCAUUGGAAACUGGGAGACUUGAGUGCAGAAGAGGAAAGUGGAAUUCCAUGUGUAGCGGUGAAAUGCGUAGAGAUAUGGAGGAACACCAGUGGCGAAGGCGACUUUCUGGUCUGUAACUGACACUGAGGCGCGAAAGCGUGGGGAGCAAACAGGAUUAAAUACGCUGGUAGUCCACGCCGUAAACGAUGAGUGCUAAAUGUUAGAGGGUUUCCNCCCUUUAUUGCUGAAGAUAACGCAUUAAACACNCCGCCUGGGGAGUACGGCCCCAGGC